AGGCGACAUGAUAAACAGAUCUGUUCACACCAAGUAGCGGGGCUGCCUGCGUCAAUAAAAGGCGGCAGCAGGCAGCAAACUGACAUUUGGUGCUUGGAGGAUUAUCGCUGCAAGAGGCGCUUCCCUUCAAAGUUCAGUAAAAUGCCAGGAUUAUUUUUUUCCCAUAACAACAUGACCGAAUUAAAUGGAAAGGAGGACUGCAAGCUCGCAGAAGGCAAAAUCCAUAAAAAGAAGCAAAAGGCUUUUGGUGCAGAUCUCAAGAACUAUUUGAAGUGCAUGGUACCACAUCUCGAAUCUGGAAUCAAGUCUUCUAACUCUAGGAAUGUCAUGUAAGUACA